GACGAACGCUGGCGGCGUGCUUAACACAUGCAAGUCGAACGGAAAGGCCCUGCUUUUGUGGGUUGCUCGAGUGGCGAACGGGUGAGUAACACGUGAGUAACCUGCCCUUGACUUUGGGAUAACUUCAGGAAACUGGGGCUAAUACCGGAUAGGAGCUCCUGCUGCAUGGUGGGGGUUGGAAAGUUUCGGCGGUUGGGGAUGGACUCGCGGGUUAUCAGCUUGUUUGUGAGGUAGUGGCUUACCAAGGCUUUGACGGGUAGCCGGCCUGAGAGGGUGAACGGGCACAUUGGGACUGAGAUACGGCCCAGUCUGCUACGGGAGGCAGCAGGGGGGAAUAUUGCACAAUGGGCGGAGGCCUGAUGCAGCAACGCCGCGUGCGGGAUGACGGCCUUCGGGUUGUAAACCGCUUUCGCCUGUGACGAAGAGUGAGUGACGGUAAUGGGUAAAGAAGCACCGGCUAACUACGUG
rnacentral:rRNA from 1 species